CGUUGAAACACCGGUUACCAUUCGAUCACCGAAGUUAAGCAACGUCGAACUUGGUCAGGAUCUAGAUGGGUGGCCGCUUGGGGAUAUCAGGUGCUGUAA